GGAAUAUUGCGCAAUGGGCGAAAGCCUGACGCAGCGAUGCCGCGUGCGGGAUGACGGUCUCCGGAUUGUAAACCGCUGUCGGGAGGGACGACGCUCUGACGGUACCUCCCAAGGAAGCACCUGCCAACUCCGUGCCCGCAGCCGCGGUAAUACGGAGGGUGCAAGCGUUGUCCGGAAUCACUGGGCGUAAAGGGCGCGUAGGCGGCUCGGUAAGUAGGGGGUGAAAUCCUGCGGCUCAACCGCAGGGCUGCCUUCUAAACUGUCGGGCUCGAGCACAGCAGAGGCAGGUGGAAUUCCCGGUGUAGCGGUGGAAUGCGUAGAGAUCGGGAAGAACAUCGGUGGCGAAGGCGGCCUGCUGGGCUGUUGCUGACGCUGAGGCGCGACAGCGUGGGGAGCAAAC
rnacentral:rRNA from 1 species